rnacentral:rRNA from 1 species
UUAAGCGACUAAGCGUACACGGUGGAUGCCCUGGCAGUCAGAGGCGAUGAAGGGCGUGCUAAUCUGCGAUAAGCGCCGGUAAGGUGAUAUGAACCGUUAUAACCGGCGAUACCCGAAUGGGGAAACCCAGUGUGAUUCGUCACACUAUCAUUAACUGAAUCCAUAGGUUAAUGAGGCGAACCGGGGGAACUGAAACAUCUAAGUACCCCGAGGAAAAGAAAUCAACCGAGAUUCCCCCAGUAGCGGCGAGCGAACGGGGAGGAGCCCAGAGCCUGAAUCAGCAUGUGUGUUAGUGGAAGCGUCUGGAAAGGCGCGCGAUACAGGGUGACAGCCCCGUACACAAAAGCGCAUGUGCUGUGAGCUCGAUGAGUAGGGCGGGACACGUGGUAUCCUGUCUGAAUAUGGGGGGACCAUCCUCCAAGGCUAAAUACUCCUGACUGACCGAUAGUGAACCAGUACCGUGAGGGAAAGGCGAAAAGAACCCCGGCGAGGGGAGUGAAAAAGAACCUGAAACCGUGUACGUACAAGCAGUGGGAGCACAGGUUUACCUGUGUGACUGCGUACCUUUUGUAUAAUGGGUCAGCGACUUAUAUUCUGUAGCAAGGUUAACCGAAUAGGGGAGCCGGAGGGAAACCGAGUCUUAACCGGGCGUUAAGUUGCAGGGUAUAGACCCGAAACCCGGUGAUCUAGCCAUGGGCAGGUUGAAGGUUGGGUAACACUAACUGGAGGACCGAACCGACUAAUGUUGAAAAAUUAGCGGAUGACCUGUGGCUGGGGGUGAAAGGCCAAUCAAACCGGGAGAUAGCUGGUUCUCCCCGAAAGCUAUUUAGGUAGCGCCUCGUGAAUUCAUCUCCGGGGGUAGAGCACUGUUUCGGCUAGGGGGCCAUCCCGGCUUACCAACCCGAUGCAAACUGCGAAUACCGGAGAAUGUUAUCACGGGAGACACACGGCGGGUGCUAACGUCCGUCGUGAAGAGGGAAACAACCCAGACCGCCAGCUAAGGUCCCAAAGUCAUGGUUAAGUGGGAAACGAUGUGGGAAGGCCCAGACAGCCAGGAUGUUGGCUUAGAAGCAGCCAUCAUUUAAAGAAAGCGUAAUAGCUCACUGGUCGAGUCGGCCUGCGCGGAAGAUGUAACGGGGCUAAACCAUGCACCGAAGCUGCGGCAGCGAACGUAUCACUUAAAGCGAUUCAGCGGGUUACGAUUGACGGAGCGAAGCGACGUCAAAGCGUAUACAAAGUCGAGUCGGUUUAAGGAUACGUUCGUUGGGUAGGGGAGCGUUCUGUAAGCCUGUGAAGGUGGCCUGUGAGGGUUGCUGGAGGUAUCAGAAGUGCGAAUGCUGACAUAAGUAACGAUAAAGCGGGUGAAAAGCCCGCUCGCCGGAAGACCAAGGGUUCCUGUCCAACGUUAAUCGGGGCAGGGUGAGUCGACCCCUAAGGCGAGGCCGAAAGGCGUAGUCGAUGGGAAACGGGUUAAUAUUCCCGUACUUGGUGUUACUGCGAAGGGGGGACGGAGAAGGCUAUGUUGGCCGGGCGACGGUUGUCCCGGUUUAAGCGUGUAGGUGUGUGUUCCAGGUAAAUCCGGUUCACUUUAACACUGAGGCGUGACGACGAGGCACUACGGUGCUGAAGCAACAAAUGCCCUGCUUCCAGGAAAAGCCUCUAAGCAUCAGGUAACAUCAAAUCGUACCCCAAACCGACACAGGUGGUCAGGUAGAGAAUACCAAGGCGCUUGAGAGAACUCGGGUGAAGGAACUAGGCAAAAUGGUGCCGUAACUUCGGGAGAAGGCACGCUGACACGUAGGUGAAGUGAUUUACUCAUGGAGCUGAAGUCAGUCGAAGAUACCAGCUGGCUGCAACUGUUUAUUAAAAACACAGCACUGUGCAAACACGAAAGUGGACGUAUACGGUGUGACGCCUGCCCGGUGCCGGAAGGUUAAUUGAUGGGGUCAGCGCAAGCGAAGCUCCUGAUCGAAGCCCCGGUAAACGGCGGCCGUAACUAUAACGGUCCUAAGGUAGCGAAAUUCCUUGUCGGGUAAGUUCCGACCUGCACGAAUGGCGUAAUGAUGGCCAGGCUGUCUCCACCCGAGACUCAGUGAAAUUGAACUCGCUGUGAAGAUGCAGUGUACCCGCGGCAAGACGGAAAGACCCCGUGAACCUUUACUAUAGCUUGACACUGAACAUUGAGCCUUGAUGUGUAGGAUAGGUGGGAGGCUUUGAAGUGUGGACGCCAGUCUGCAUGGAGCCGACCUUGAAAUACCACCCUUUAAUGUUUGAUGUUCUAACGUGGACCCGUUACCCGGGUUGCGGACAGUGUCUGGUGGGUAGUUUGACUGGGGCGGUCUCCUCCUAAAGAGUAACGGAGGAGCACGAAGGUUGGCUAAUCCUGGUCGGACAUCAGGAGGUUAGUGCAAUGGCAUAAGCCAGCUUGACUGCGAGCGUGACGGCGCGAGCAGGUGCGAAAGCAGGUCAUAGUGAUCCGGUGGUUCUGAAUGGAAGGGCCAUCGCUCAACGGAUAAAAGGUACUCCGGGGAUAACAGGCUGAUACCGCCCAAGAGUUCAUAUCGACGGCGGUGUUUGGCACCUCGAUGUCGGCUCAUCACAUCCUGGGGCUGAAGUAGGUCCCAAGGGUAUGGCUGUUCGCCAUUUAAAGUGGUACGCGAGCUGGGUUUAGAACGUCGUGAGACAGUUCGGUCCCUAUCUGCCGUGGGCGCUGGAGAACUGAGGGGGGCUGCUCCUAGUACGAGAGGACCGGAGUGGACGCAUCACUGGUGUUCGGGUUGUCAUGCCAAUGGCACUGCCCGGUAGCUAAAUGCGGAAGAGAUAAGUGCUGAAAGCAUCUAAGCACGAAACUUGCCCCGAGAUGAGUUCUCCCUGAGACUUUAGGUCUCCUGAAGGAACGUUGAAGACGACGACGUUGAUAGGCCGGGUGUGUAAGCGCAGCGAUGCGUUGAGCUAACCGGUACUAAUGAACCGUGAGGCUUAACCUU